AUUGAACGCUGGCGGCAUGCUUUACACAUGCAAGUCGAACGGUAACAGGCCGCAAGGUGCUGACGAGUGGCGAACGGGUGAGUAAUGCAUCGGAACGUGCCCAGUCGUGGGGGAUAACGCAGCGAAAGCUGCGCUAAUACCGCAUACGAUCUAUGGAUGAAAGCGGGGGACCGUAAGGCCUCGCCCGAUUGGAGCGGCCGAUGUCAGAUUAGGUAGUUGGUGGGGUAAAGGCUCACCAAGCCAACGAUCUGUAGCUGGUCUGAGAGGACGACCAGCCACACUGGGACUGAGACACGGCCCAGACUCCUACGGGAGGCAGCAGUGGGGAAUUUUGGACAAUGGGCGCAAGCCUGAUCCAGCAAUGCCGCGUGCAGGAAGAAGGCCUUCGGGUUGUAAACUGCUUUUGUACGGAACGAAACGGUCCUGGUUAAUACCUGGGGCUAAUGACGGUACCGUAAGAAUAAGCACCGGCUAACUACGUGCCAGCAGCCGCGGUAA
rnacentral:rRNA from 1 species